rnacentral:piRNA from 1 species
UGAGUGCUCAUAAUGCGAUUCUAGAG